GAUGAACGCUAGCGGCAGGCUUAAUACAUGCAAGUCGAACGGUAACAGGUCUUCGGACGCUGACGAGUGGCGCACGGGUGAGGAACACGUACACAAUCUACCUUAUACUGGAGAAUAGCCCCGGGAAACUGGGAUUAAUACUCCAUAGUCUUUAAUGAUCACAUGAGAAAUAAAGUAAAGCUUCGGCGGUAUAAGAUGAGUGUGCGUCCCAUUAGAUUGUUGGUGAGGUAACGGCUCACCAAGUCGACGAUGGGUAGCUGGCGUGAGAGCGCGACCAGCCACACUGGCACUGAGUCACGGGCCAGACUCCUACGGGAGGCAGCAGUAGGGAAUAUUGGUCAAUGGACGAAAGUCUGAACCAGCCAUGCCGCGUGGAGGAUGACUGCCCUCUGGGUUGUAAACUCCUUUUAUAUGGGAAGAAACCUCUGGAUUCACCUCCAGAGCUGACGGUAUCAUAUGAAUAAGCACCGGCUAACUCCGUCG
rnacentral:rRNA from 1 species